GGCUCGGUUGCUUAGUUGGUAAAGCGCUCGUCUAGCAUACAAGAGUCCUGGGUUCAAAUCUCAGCCGAGCAG
rnacentral:tRNA from 1 species